AGAAGAUGAGCUUUAUAAACUAUAAAAUCAUAAAACCAUUUAUUACAUGCACAAGUAAAGAAACAUGACUAGAAUUGUUAAGUUUCUAUGCAUUAUGGUUAUCUUGUUUCCUCUAUUUCUUGAUGCAUCAGAUUUUGACCCCAAUGUUAGAUGCUCUAAAAAUGAUGAUUGUCCCAAAGUUGCAUGCUUUUAUCCUUUGAGACCAAUAUGUCAAUUCACCAAGUGUAGAUGUGUUAAAUCGGCCCGUGGAAUAUCUCCUUUGCCCACAUGAUAAUGUGUUACCUUGCCAAAUUCAAAAGAAAGAAUAUUCUAUAUGAGUAGUCAUUUAAUUAUUAUGUAUGCACCCUAAUAAUUUGAAUUUCAUUUUCUUUUUGUCAAGGACCUUAAUGGUAUAGAUUUGUAUUUGAAUAUGAUAGUAAUGGAAUAAAAUAAGGGAGUGAAAAAAAAUUAUUUA